AGAAACUACAAAGGAAGUGACGGGGCCCGGCACAAGCGGUGGAGCAUGUGGUUUAAUUCGAUGAUACGCGACGGAACCUUACCUGGGCUCAAAUGUAUGUUGACGUAUUCUGAAAGGGAUACUUCUUCGGACAAUAUACAAGGUGCUGCAUGGUUGUCGUCAGCUCGUGCCGUGAGGUGUCGGGUUAAGUCCCAUAACGAGCGCAACCCCUAUCAUUAGUUGCCAUCAGGUCAAGCUGGGGACUCUAAUGAAACUGCCUACGCAAGUAGUGAGGAAGGUGGGAUGACGUCAAGUCAUCAUGGCCCUUAUGUCCAGGGCGACACACGUGCUACAAUGGCCGGCACAACGGGAAGCGAGUUCGCGAGGACGAGCGGAUCCCUCAAAGCCGGUCGCAGUUCGGAUUGAAGUCUGCAACUCGACUUCAUGAAGCUGGAAUCGCUAGUAAUCGUGGAUCAGCCAAGCCGCGGUGAAUACGUUCCCGGGCCUU
rnacentral:rRNA from 1 species